AUACGUAGGGGGCGAGCGUUGUCCGGAUUUACUGGGCGUAAAGGGUGAGUAGGCGGUUAUAUGUGUCAGAUGUAAAAGGCUAUGGCUUAACCAUAGUUAGCAUUUGAAACUGUAUGACUUGAGUGCAGGAGAGGUAAGUGGAAUUCCUAGUGUAGCGGUGAAAUGCGUAGAUAUUAGGAGGAACACCAGUGGCGAAGGCGACUUACUGGACUGUAACUGACGCUGAGUCACGAGAGCGUGGGUAGCAAACAGGAUUAGAUACCCUGGUAGUCCACGCUGUAAACGAUGAGUGCUAGGUGUUGGCCAGCGAUGGUCAGUGCCGCAGUAAACACAUUAAGCACUCCGCCUGGGGAGUACGGUCGCAAGACUGAAACUCAAAGGAAUUGGCGGGG
rnacentral:rRNA from 1 species